UGUCGCUGUAUUACUAUGAGUUUUAAAAUGAAGUCGCAGGCUGACCUUCAUCUGCUGGAAGAGGCCAUCAACAUCCGGCGUCGAGAGAAGCGCUUUGACCUGCACGCCACCUGCAAUAUUUGUUUCAAAACAAAGUUUGCUGACGGUGUUGGCCAUAUUUGCCAACAAUGUGGCGUUCGUUGCUGUGCCAGGUGCGGCUGCAAAGUGCCAUUAAAGAAAAACAAGAUCUGGCUUUGCAUUCUGUGCCGUAAGAAGAAGGAGCUGGCUAUUAAAUUUGGCAAGUGGUUACAGAAUGAUAGAAAGGAAAGUUGGGGUAGAUCGCGUAGUCUGGAGGAGGAUUCAGAGAGGAGGCUGGAUGCUGGCGGAUUUCUUUCGAGGCAGUUUACGUCCUCACUUAACAUCACCACUCCUAACCUUCCUCCCUUUUGGCAAGAAGAGAAGAAAGAUCCCCAGAAACCUGAAAGACCUGAGCCUCUAAGAUAUGAAAUGAAAUCUGCACAGUCGUACAUCACACAGCAGCAACAGCAGAGAAAGCAUCGACGUCGGUCGUCCCUCGAAAUUAGGAAUGAUUCUCUCAGUUCAGAUCAAUCGGAAAAUCCUCCUGCUCGCCCCAAACCUCGAAAGUCAGGCAAUGGUGGACAUCGUCAGAGACGAGAUGGGCCGAGCAGCGGUUCUGAAGAUGACGCCCGAUCCACUCCUUCCUCGUGCAGAGAUUCAGAAAGUGAAAUAUACAAGGGGAAUGGCCAUCGGAGGCACCCCUGUCACCGCACAGAGCCCCCUCACGUCCUCAGGUCUCGUCCGUGGGACGGAGGGGAUGGUAACACAAAGGAUUCUGGCAUCGACACCAGCAGUAGUGCCACUCUAUAUGAAGACACACAACAGCACAAUGUGUUCUGGUCAAGAUCAAAAGGCGGAGGGUACAUAGGAAAUAUGGUGCUGAAGAAGGAACUGGGACCAGAUGGACGAACUCGUCAAAAUGUAGGGAUGAGGGUGGUUGGUGGUCAAAUAGUAGAAGGCAUCAUGCGGGCAAUAGUAGAGAACAUAAGAGAGGGCAGCCUGGCAGAUCGAAUAGCAAGAAUAGAACCUGGAGAUGAAGUGGUGGAGUGGAAUGGAGUGUCUUUUCGUGGUCGCCGUAAAGAAGAAGUGGCCAACAUCAUUGCUAUUUCUAAGAAUGAUCCCCAAGUGCAACUACUUAUUCACAGGCCUUGCGGACGGAAUGCUCCAAAUGUUGCAGAGGAGUUACCUUGUGAUCUGCGAAGGAUACCUCCACCUCACUUAGAAGUCCAUCCAGAGGCCAUGAAUAGAGGAGGUAUGUUCCAUGAUCAUCAUCAGAGGUACUACUCCAGGUACUCAUCCUCAAGGCGUUCUAAUUCAGUAGUAGGAGGACAAAUACAGGUAAAGUUAUCUUGCGACCACCAGAAUUCUCACCUCCUUGUAACUGUGGAGUGUGCCAAGAGACUCCCACCACGCCUCAAUACUGAACCUAGGAGUCCCUACUGCAAAGUUGUUCUUCUUCCCAACAGACCUGGUGAACAGCCUAAAAAGGGUCGUUCUAUAGCUGUCUUGCAUUCCAAUGAGCCCCAAUGGCACGACACCGUCAGGCUGUCAGACCUCCGUCUCUCCCAGAUCAAACAUCGGAUGCUUCAAAUCACAGUCUGGGACUAUAGCCCAAAAGGAGAACUCAGUGAAUUCCUUGGAGAGGUGGUGAUUCCUUUGCGUUCGAGUAUGAAUAAUGAGCCGCAGUGGUACCUCUUGUCAAUGCACAGGGACAACGUGAUUAACCCAUCUCCUCCAGAAUCCCCUGAUAGAAGACUUUCCGACGACGACUUGUCGGACUUCGAUGAAAAGUUCAGCGAAAGAACCGAGCGUCGUAUGAUGGCCAUUGACAGUUGUUCUCCCUUCUAUGAAGGGAUUGAUCGGCAACCCUAUGAAAUGGGUGGACGAUCAAGAUCUUUAAACUCUCCUCCUAUCUCCUCCUCCGAUUACCCACGUGGAAGGAUCAGAGAGACCGGAUUUGAAGAUAGAAGGCGAUCCAGAUCCAUGGCGGAUUCAUCAGAGAGGAGAACGCCGGUUCACGGAUCUAGGUCUGUCUCACCGCCACAAUACAGGGCAGCUCCGUUCCAUCAUUCUCGACGCCUACUGCCAGCAGCAUCCUCUUCUAAUAACCAGUAUAGGAAACGCCAAUUACCACAAGUACCUUUCUCCAGGAUUGAUAUAGAAGAGCGAUACAUGAAGAAAGGAAAGAACCCAGCAGUUGCCGUUACCCCUCCUUCUGGUGCUGAGUUCCCACAGCGCCGUGGGGGUGGAUCACGAAUGGCAGCAGCAUUGGGGGUGAGCAGCUCUUUAGUUAGUCCCGACGACUCAGAGUCAAGUUCCAAGUUUAGCCUCAGCAGUGCCUUUCACAGAAACAGUCGCACUCUCGGGGAAUUCACGGGUCGUUCUUCAGCAUAUGGGGGACCGGUCCAUCCAUCAUCCCGAGAUGCAGAAAUGGAUGGCAGCUUGUCCGACACAGCUGUUGGACUGGCCACAGAUAAUAAGACCAUGAUUCGACGACCCUCCACCUACUCUGCCACCCCCUACCUUUCCAAAAAGAGCAACAGCACUUCACAACUGAGUGUCACAGGGAACAAGAAGAGGAUUUUCUUCAGACUUCGUAAUGAUUCCUCGUCUUCCUUUGUGGUGCGUCGGAGCGAAGAAGUCUUGCCGGAUUUCAGGGCCGGCAGCAGUAGUGUCUCCUCCGAUGGCAGCAUUAGCGGGGACAGCACGACGCGGAGACCGACUUUCUGGAAUGACACCCUCACCGACUGGCACGGUCAAGAUCAAUGGGCGACUAUGGGGAUCGAGACUUCUCCCGGAAGCGGGCGAGGGUUUCGUGGAAGGAUUAGGCCCAGGUCAGCUGGUAGGGAGACAAGUUCUUGCCUCCCCCACUCUUGGCGAGAUUCAGCUGGCCAUUUGCGAGAGGAAAAGCUGCCUAGAAGUGGAGGUGAUUCGAGCCCGUGGUCUCAUGCCCAAUCCAAAUGCCAAAACUCUUCCAGCUCCUUACGUGAAAGUGUACCUCUUAGACGGGGGCAGGAAAUGUGUUGCUAAGCGAAAGACAGCCACUGCAAGAAGGACAUUGGAUCCUCUCUAUCAGCAACAAUUAUUAUUUUCAGAAGAUUUCAGGAACUGUGUCUUGCAAGUGACAGUGUGGGGUAAUUACAGUAAUAUAGAACGUAAGGUGUUUAUGGGUGUGUCCCAAAUAGUGCUUGACGAUAUUGAUCUAGCAAAAGGAGUGAUCAAUUGGUAUAAACUCUUUCACCAAUCAUCCCUGGUCAAUAAUCUGACGACAAGCAAUGACCGCAGCUCUUUUCUCUCUUUGGAUAGUUUUGGCUGACAAACAAUAACAACAACCAUUAUUUCCUUGUUGCCUUUUACUCUCUCUAUCUCUCUUUCCAGACGAGACACACACACACACUGCUGAUGGCCACUGCUCGGAAUCUUCGCUUUUCGAGGGAAGCGAUAACUUUUGGUGGGCACUCUUGAUAAGAAAGUGUCCACAGCCUUCCUCUCCUCCUCUCGAACUGUGACACACUUUUUUUGACUUUCAUAUUUUUCAAUAAAAACAAAUCAUCCAAAUAAAAAAAAAAUGUAAAUAUUUCAAA
rnacentral:misc_RNA from 1 species